rnacentral:rRNA from 1 species
GACGAACGCUGGCGGCGUGCCUAAUACAUGCAAGUUGAGCGCUGAAGGCUGGUACUUGUACCAACUGGAUGAGCAGCGAACGUGUGAGUAACGCGUGGGGCAUCUGCCUUUCAGCGGGAGACAACAUUUGGAAACGAAUGCUUAUACCGCAUAAAAACUUUAAACAAAAGUUUUAAGUUUGAAAGAUGCAAUUGCAUCACUCACAGAUGGUCCCGCGUCGUAUUAGCUAGUUGGUGAGGUAAAGGCUCACCAAGGCGAUGAUACAUAGCCGAACUGAGAGGAUGGUCAGCCGCCUUGAGACGGUGACACGGCACAAACUCACACGGGUAGCAGCAGUACGGCAACGGGGGCAAUGAACGAGAGUCUGAGCGAGCAACGCGGCGUGAGUGAAGAGCGUCGUCGGAUCGGGAAACACUGUUUGUAGGGAAGAACGUGGGUGAGAGUGGAAAGCUGAUAAAGUGACGGUAACUACCCAGAAAGAGACGGCUAACUACGUG